rnacentral:rRNA from 1 species
CCUACGGGCGGCAGCAGUGGGGAAUAUUGCACAAUGGGCGAAAGCCUGAUGCAGCAACGCCGCGUGAAGGAAGAAGGGUGUCGGCUCGUAAACUUCUAUCAACAGGGACGAAAGAAAUGACGGUACCGGAAUAAGAAGCACCGGCUAACGACGCGCCAGCAGCCGCGGUAAUACGUAGGGGGCAAGCGUUAUACGGAAUUACGGGGUUUAAAGGGUGCGUAGGCGGCAUGGUAAGCCAGAUGUGAAAGCCUUGGGCUUAACCCGAGGAUUGCAUUUGGAACUAUCAAGCUAGAGUACAGGUGAGCCAAGCGGAAUUCCUUGUGUAGCGGUGCAUUGCGUCGAUAUUAGGA